UCCCGUGUGGCUCAGUUGGUAGAGCAUGGUGUUUGCAACGCCAAGGUUGUGUGUUUGAUUCCCACAGGGGAC
rfam:Salmo salar isolate Sally breed double haploid chromosome ssa14, whole genome shotgun sequence.